CUAUGUUUCAGACACUGUGCUAGAAUAGCUAGAGAGCGAAGGAAUAUCAGGUAUGAACGCUGGCCUCACAGACGCAUAGCAAAUGCACAACAUAACAUCACAGAACCCCAACAAAGGCUCAGAGUUCUUUCUGAUGCAGGCCUCCAGGAAGUCCACUGCUAAUGUAUCACAGAAUUGGCAUAAGAGGAGACAUCCAUUAGUCCCUGGUGGGAAGUCAAAAGUUUCUCUGGUAACAGGUCUCAUUCCGACAAUCAUAAUCAUGGUCAUUUCACAUCUAUCAAGUAGGACCCAUUUCAUAUGUAUCCUGCUGAAGUUUGACUGUUUUAAUUCCACUCUCAGAAACAUGAAUAAACCCAAGUUACCUCCACUGCUGCUUUUGCCCUUUCAAAUUCCUCUUCUAAAGAGUGAUUUCUGGAGAGUAAUGCACUGCCCCAGCGAUGUUCUCUGUUUAAGAAGCAUAUGCAGUUGAUGUCAUUUCUGGAGUACUGCACAAGCAUGAUGUUGUCCAAACUGGGCUGGUGCCAAAAUGCGGGGUUGGAAGUUGAUGGUGAAAUGGAAAGACCUGGCUCUACCAUUGCUUAGCUGAGUGACCUGAUGUAAACUCCCUGAGUUUGUUCCCUCAACUGAAAAAUGCAGUAUUAACAUUUAACAGUCUGUCUUCAAGGUAUGAUACAAAGAUUAAAUUGUCUGAUGUGUAAAUCAAAGGUGUAAAGUGCCAGGCAUAUGAUAGGUGCUCAGUAAAAUUUCCAUUCUUUGGUGGCUAGAGUGUGAUGCUUCUCUUUCCUUUUCCCUUUUGUUGGCCUCCUUCUGUUUCUCCUGUUCCUCUCCAUUUCCGGCAAGAACCAGGUCCAUACACUGACAGGAAGAGGAAACAUCACCAGGAAUAACAUGGACAUUGAGACAAAGAUACUGGUUCUACAGAGGAGCUAUGAAGUAAAUUUAUCAUGAAAUGGCCUGGCAGUAUCAGCUGAUCCCACUCAAUUCUUCCCGAGGAGAUGGGAGCCACUUGCCAAGGCUAAGAUGCUUGGAGAUACGAAUGUUCUAUGGCAGCAAGGACUUGAAAGUGGGGGGGAAGAGGUGGCUUUCAGAGCUAGGCUGCCUGACUUGAUGUCUAAAAUUUAAGCAUGGCAUGCAGCCAAAAUAGGCUAGGAUGACACAUGUCACAUUCUUUGAAGGCUUCAACAGAAAUUUCCAGGCCACGUCACAUUGGAAGAGCUUCCAGGCCCACUGUGAUAACAGAAUGAGGGAAGUGGAUUAACAAUCUCUGGGAUGCCAUGUAUGUCUUUGUACUAAUUAUACCGACAAUUAGGAAUUAGUCACUUGCUCUUACAUUUCUUUUAGAAGCAAAUUAUAUAGGACUUGUCUACUUGCAUAUAGUAAGUACAUUCUUUAUGGAAUGAUUACUGGCGAGUAUUAAUUCUAUAUCUGCUUCUGGCCAUUCAGAAUAAAUGAAUU